UUUCAUAUUGAACCUGAGAUCACUUUGGAAUUGAUGAUGGCUGCAAACUACUUGCACACCUGAGGAACGAUAUAUAUGACUUUGGGGCCCAAAGGUAUAAAAGUUUGAAGAUAUACUGUUUCUAGCAUAGCUAUUACCAUUGGAGCUUGUAGGAUGUGGAUACUUUUAGUUGUUGCUGAAUUUGGCACUGUAACAUUCAGUACAUAAGUCGUUUCCAUUUACUGGAGUAUGUAAUAGUAUUUGACACACUGGGGCCUCUGUUCUAUCUGCCCUAUCGUUAACCCAUUUUAACAGCACUUAUCCCCAUUUGUAUGCAUGUUCAUGUAUCAUGUGGUACUUGAAUUGUUUACAGUAUGAUAUACUCUACGCGCUUAGAUGCUUGAAUGUUUA